CGAAGUUCCAGUUCCAGCAGUCCUAUCAUUCUAGGCUCGGAUACCAAGUACAGAAAAAAAGAAAUGGAGACAAGCUGCACCUCAGGAAAUGACUUCUCAUUCUUCACGGUGCUGCCUCAGUGAUACCCUGCUGUUCCUGGAGUUGAAUCAAAGGUGGCUACAGUUCUGGUCUCCAGGUUCCUUCUUAAGUUCCUGCCUUGGCUUCUCUCAGUGACAGCGACCAGGAUGUUAUCUUCUCAAAGCCUGACCUGUUUUUAAAAAGAGCAAUAACUGUAAAAAGUGCGGUGCUGAUUGCAGUGUGCCUGUGGAAUGUGCAUGAAUGCAAAGCAAAGGAGCUGAAGAUACAGAGGACAGGCUCAGAAGAGAAAUGGGAAGGGGCACCAGAAACAUGUUGCUGGGGGCCUGAUAACCAAGACCUAUAAUUCUAGCUCUAAGGAAAGCUGGUGUGAGGAGCUCAGAAAAUCAAGGCCUGUCUGGGACACUGACUGAGUUCAAGACCAUCCUGGACAACUUCAUGAGUUCCUGUCAUAAACUGAAAAAGUAAACGAAGACUGGAUAUACAGUUCUGUGUUAGAGUGUGUGCCUCGCAUGUGCAAGGACCCAACUUCAAUCCCCAGUCAUACAAAACAGAAAGAAAACAACACAAAACAUCAUUUCAAUGAAUAAAAAUGAGCUAAACACCAUUUUAUGCUAAACUUACUACUGUUGAGAGUCAAGUUGAAGCUCUUUCAGCUCACUGACAGAUAAGAAUGAUUACUCCGUCACGAGUAACAGAUUCAAACAUUAAGUUUUGAAGACAUAAAUUAAACUCCAUUUCCAGAGCCAUGCAGAGAGAUUAUUAAGAGCACAAUUCUAUUAUUUGGAUAUAAUAUUCUUUCCUGGGCUUCACAUAUGCUAGCUUUAUAUGCUUGGGUGAGAAUGUCUAUACUAGUAUUCUUUUUUUCUAAGGAUCAGAUUCAAAUCACUAAGAAACCGAGAGACUAUGAAUAAAACAAAAGCCAAAUUUCUUGAGUAAUAUUUGAAAAAUUUCCCAUUAAUAUGGCACCAAAUAUUUGAACAGUCACCAUCUAGACUAAUUGACCACUGCAUUAGCAUAAAGAAAAAAAUAGGUGUCUCAUCAGACUCCUUUUUCUAAUCAAGGAAAGAAUAACAAGUGAAUGCAUUUUCCGUCUUGGCUACAUCAUCUGCCAUCAAAAAUGGCACCUCUGCAUUCAAAACCAAUUAUGAUUCUGAUCCAUGCAAUUAAGUAAUCAAGCCCUGUUCCUGAAGUUAGAGGCUCCCUUCUUGUCUCACUCUAGUCUGACUUUCUGUGCUGUAUAGCAGUUCCUUCAGCUUAUCCUCUUCCAUAUUGACUAUCCAUCCUUAACAGAGAAUCCCAUCCCAGGCAAAGGUUGCUCACCAAGUAUUUCUUACAUUGGACAAACUGGUA